UACGUAGGAUCCGAGCGUUGUCCGGAAUUACUGGGUGUAAAGGGUCUGCAGGCGGGAAAACAAGUCGGUGGUGAAAGCCUAUAGCUUAACUAUAGAACUGCCUCCGAUACUGUUUUUCUUGAGUCCGAGAGAGGGCAAUGGAAUUCAUGGUGUAGCGGUGAAAUGCGUAGAUAUCAUGAAGAACACCAGUUGCGAAGGCGAUUGCCUGGCUCGGUACUGACGCUCAGGGACGAAAGCGUGGGGAU
rnacentral:rRNA from 1 species